rnacentral:rRNA from 1 species
ACAGAUCGUUCAGAGUUUGAUCCUGGCUCAGGAUGAACGCUGGCGGCGUGCCUAACACAUGCAAGUCGAACGGGGUUAAAGAGAAAUUUUCGGAUGGACCUUUAACUUAGUGGCGGACGGGUGAGUAACGCGUGGAUAACCUGCCUCGCACAGGGGGAUAGCAGCUGGAAACGGCUGGUAAUACCGCAUAAGACCACGGCCCUGCAUGGGGCUGAGGUAAAAGAUUUAUCGGUGCGAGAUGGAUCCGCGUCUGAUUAGCCAGUUGGCGGGGUAACGGCCCACCAAAGCGACGAUCAGUAGCCGGCCUGAGAGGGUGAACGGCCACAUUGGGACUGAGACACGGCCCAA